rnacentral:rRNA from 1 species
UUUCCCUAAACUGGGGAUUAGAUACCCCACUAUGCUUAGCCCUAAACAUAAAUAGUUCUAUAACAAAACAAUUCGCCAGAGAACUACUAGCAACAGCUUAAAACUCAAAGGACUUGGCGGUGCUUUAUAUCCCUCUAGAGGAGCCUGUUCUAUAAUCGAUAAACCCCGAUAACCUCACCUCCCUGUA